rfam:Xenopus laevis strain J chromosome 8L, whole genome shotgun sequence.
AAAACAGUCUUUUUAAAGACUAUCAACUGAUAUCAAGAAGAAGAU